UGUCUCUGUAGGACAAAAUAGUGCACUAUUUUGUGGAUUAUAUACACCUAUCUGACGACUAGGGCUCAAUUUCGGCAGCUGAAGGGAGCGAUAUCAACUUGCCAUGUGGAAGGAACGUCUCUGGAAAAGAAGAAUUGAAGAAUCUGACUGGGUUUAUAGACGUGAGAAGGGUUGGCUUAUCACUGUCAGGGUCCCCGUGGUCAAAACUUCACGGGAACUGUGUGGGAACCGUGAUGUUGGCCGAGCUGUUCCUUUCCCAGAAUCCUCCUCUCCGGUCCGCUUAGGAAACAUUCCCGGACUAGUUCUAACUCGCCGCGUCUUCUCACGAGCGCUGGGAAGAGCGAGGCCUAAUGGCUUCCGCAUGGACGCAGGUAGCAGUGACCCAGGAAGUGGUUUCAGUGUUCCAUGAGAAACCAGAGAACGUUUUGAACUUAUUAUUUGCUCUGUAUUUUUGGGGUUUUUUUUGUUUUGCUUUACUUCCUUGUUUUUGCCCAUCUGGAGUGAUCUGGUGUGUAUGACCUAUUUUAAAAGAUUGAGUAUAAAUGGUGACACAAAGCAACGCGACCCAGUCGGCUACGUGGAAAAAAAUCAGACCUUUUUACAUGUGAAUUUGCUGCUUGUAAAUGUGUGAUUGUUGUCAGUAAUUAAAAUAACACCGUUGCAGGUUGUUCUGCUGUGGUGAUGUUUAUUAGCCUGUAAUUGAAAGUGUGUUCGUAAUUAUUAAAGAUUAUGUGAGACACGUUUUUGAGAGAAAGGGUUGCUUCUGAUCGAAAAUUGGUAAAUGACAAUCCCCAUAAGUUGCUCUGGAUAAGGCCAUCUGCCAAAUGCCAUAAAUGUAAAUGUAAAUGUUGUGUGUCAUCCUAUUACCCCUGAAGUUCUACAGCUCCCAUGGGAGAGGGAACGAGAGCGUGUGGUUCCCAUAUCUCUGGAUGUAAUCAAGGAAAGACAAUGGAACAUAUGAGU